rnacentral:rRNA from 1 species
CCUACCUUUUAACUCUGGGAUAGCCCGAAGAAAUUCGGAUUAAUACCGGAUAAUAUCAAGAUAUGACAUCACAGCUUGAUUAAAGGCGCGAGUUGGUUAAAGAUGGGCAUGCGUCCCAUUAGUUAGUUGGGGAGGUAACGGCUCACCAAGGCGAUGAUGGGUAGGGGCUCUGAGAGGAUUACCCCCCACAUUGGUACUGAGACAGGGACCAAACUCCUACGGGAGGCAGCAGUGAGGAAUAUUGGGCAAUGGACGGAAGUCUGACCCAGCCAUGCCGCGUGCAGGAAGACGGCCUUAUGGGUUGUAAACUGCUUUUAUGUAGGGAAAAAGUUCAUAUUGCGAUAUGAUUUGAUGGUACUACAGGAAUAAGAAUCGGCUAACUCCGUGCCAGCAGCCGCGGUAAUACGGAGGAUUCGAGCGUUAUCCGGAUUUAUUGGGUUUAAAGGGUGCGCAGGCGGACUAUUAAGUCAGUGGUGAAUUUUCCGGCUCAACCGGGACAGUGCCAUUGAUACUGAUAGACUAGAGUAUAAUUGACGUAUGUGGAAUGUAGCAUGUAGCGGUGAAAUGCAUAGAGAUGCUACAGAACACCGAUAGCGAAGGCAGCAUACGAAGCUAUAACUGACGCUCAUGCACGAAAGCGUGGGGAUCAAACAGGAUUAGAUACCCUGGUAGUCCACGCUGUAAACGAUGAUAACU